rnacentral:lncRNA from 1 species
AUAUAUAUAUUAAACUGUAUUGAGAUGAUAUUUUAGAAAAUAUUGUGGGACAUCUUAAAAACUAAUUUGGAAUGAUGGAGGUAGUAGUAAAUGAGUUAAAUCAGGCUCAGCUUUACUUACCACAAUUACCAACUACUUUGGGAUAAAAGGUGUUGUUGAGUUUGAGUUGUAGAUUUCCAUUGGAGGACUUGCUUUAUAUUUCUUUGCAACCAGCUGUUAGUUUCAUGAAUGGCAAUUUUUGUAUAUAUGUUUCUCUUUUCAUGUAACUUUGGAUUUUCCAAAAGUCUGAUUGAUACUUUGCAACCAGCUGUUAGUUUCAUGAAUGGCAAUUUUUGUAUAUAUGUUUCUCUUUUCAUGUAACUUUGGAUUUUCCAAAAGUCUGAUUGAUUCGACUGUAUCAGAGAGUCCCAAAUCUAG